UCUAAAUGUAAUAUUUUCAGGGAUUUUGUCUACUUGCUUGAAAAUUGGAAAGGGACAUUUUCUUGACAAUUUAACCCAUCAACUGUCAAUUGCUUACAUGUUGUCGUUUCUCACGGUUUGAUUUAUAUGUAUUGUGAACUGCAAAUACCUCGGCUCCUUGCAAUAUAGGAAUCAAUGGUUCCGAUAUUACACCAGAACUUUAGCUUUCUCGGGCAUGUGACGAUGGCUUCCAUGGAAAAAAUCAUCAAAGUGACUGUCGAUGACCUUCAGGUAUAUCAACGUCAAAUGACAAAAGAAUGCCUCCAGAAAGUUUGUUCAUCAGGCACAAGCGAAUGACAAAUUGCAGGAUCAAUGGAAUUCUCUUUCGACAGAAGAUCUGCAUGAUCUUUUUACUCUUCAUGAACAAGUCAGUGCGAGAGAAAGUUGCAUGCUAUAUGAGUGUUAAACGCCAUCGAGCGAUCUGAACAGAGCCGUGGCUCGAGUCGUUUUCGCUGUCCUGAUCGAUGGGUCAGGAUUGAUGCUUUCCGGUAACUCCGACAGUAGCCGAGUAAACGCAAGCAUGGGUCGCUGGGAGCAGCUGUCUCCUACCUCUCGAGCCUGGAUCCAUCUUUUAUCGAGAGCGACAGCCUCGGCGAGCCACCGUCAGUGAGAAGGGACCUGCGGAUACCCGUGAAGAUGGGGUUCCUG